CUGCUAGCCUUGAAGACUGAAAGUCUCUUUAUUGAUGGAAUGUGUACAGCAAGGCAGCAGCAGUGCAAACAUCCCUUGCACUGCCCUGCCUAUGUGUCUUGACCCUGUCCUCAAGGGACUUCUACUAAUGAGAGGGCUGUUUUUUCUCCAUGGCCUUUUCAAACUUUGGUCUCU
rnacentral:sRNA from 1 species